rnacentral:rRNA from 1 species
GAACUUAAGCAUAUCAAUAAGCGGAGGAAAAGAAACUAACAAGGAUUCCCUAGUAACGGCGAGUGAAGCGGGAACAGCUCAAAUUUGAAACCUCAGCGCAAGCUGCGAAUUGUAGUUUAGAGAAACGUUUUCGGGGCCGGCAGCCAGUACAAGUUCUUUGGAACAAGGCAUCACAGAGGGUGAAAAUCCCGUCUUUGACUGGCUGCUUGGUUCCAUGUGAUACGUUUUCCAAGAGUCGGUUUGUUUGGGAAUGCAGACCAAAAUGGGUGGUAAAUACCAUCUAAAGCUAAAUAUUGGCGAGAGACCGAUAGCGAACAAGUACCGUGAGGGAAAGAUGAAAAGAACUUUGAAAAGAGAGUUAAACAGUGCGUGAAAUUGUCAAAAGGGAAACGUUUAAAACCAGUAUUGCGGGCAGAAACUCAGGUUCCAUUUAUGGUGCUGUAUUUUUCUGUCGGCGAGUCAACAUCAGUUUUGCUUGGAGUAAAACGCCAGGGGAAGGUAGCCUUCGGGUGUUAUAGCCUCUGGUAAUGCUCUGGGCGGGACUGAGGACUGCAGCGUUCUUUGGGUUUACCACACCAACGCUUAGGAUGUUGACGAAAUGGUUUUAAGCGACCCGUCUUGAAACACGGACCAAGGAGUCUAACAUAUAUGCGAGUAUUUGGGUGGCAAACCCUUAUGCGUAAUGAAAGUGAAAAGGUGGGAUCCUUUGCUGGUGCACCAUCGACCGCGCCAGAUUAUUGCUAUCUCGGCGUGAGUAUGAGCAUACAUGUUGGGACCCGAAA